rnacentral:lncRNA from 12 species
GCACAGUGUUCUAACCUCACAGCUGUGCCACUUGUAAAAGCCUGUGAUCUAAUCCUUAAUUGCCAGAAACUCUAUAUUGUGUCAUACAUGCUGUGAUUCAGUGUUCCAGGCUGACGCACACAGCGGAUACUGCUCAUGUCCACACCAACCCUCUGUAUUCUCCAGAGCAAGGUAGGCAAUUAGGCUUUCAUAUUAAUAUAAAAAGAGCUAUAUCUUCAUGAAAUGUGACACAUUUAUUUCGCACCACCCAAAUGCAAGCUGUUACCAAAUCUUAGAGUUAAAAUAAUUGUGAAGUGGUCUUUGAGCCUCUACUCAUGACUGUGAUAUUUUGCAAGCCUCCAAGUAUUUCAAAGCCACAGUUUGGGU